CAAUGGCAUAUACAAUGAGACGCAAUACCGCGAGGUGGAGCAAAUCUAUAAAAUAUGUCCCAGUUCGGAUUGUUCUCUGCAACUCGAGAGCAUGAAGCCGGAAUCGCUAGUAAUCGUAGAUCAGCCAUGCUACGGUGAAUACGUUCCCGGGUCUUGUACUCACCGCCCGUCACACCAUGGGAGUUGAUUUCACUCGAAGCCGGAAUACUAAACUAGUUACCGUCCACAGUGGAAUCAGCGACUGGGGUGAAGUCGUAACAAGGUAACCGUAGGAGAACCUGCGGUUGGAUCACCUCCUUU
rnacentral:rRNA from 1 species